CGCACAUUGCGCCCAUUAGUAUUCUAGUGGGCAUGCCUGUUCGAGCGUCAUUUCAACCCUUAAGCCUAGCUUAGUGUUGGGAAUCUACUGUCCGGGAGGAGCUACCCUGUAGCGCCUUACCCUGUAGUUCCUGAAAUUUAACGGCGGAUUUAUGGUGUCCUCUGAGCGUAGUAAAUCUUUAUCUCGCUUUUGUUAGGCGCUGUGGCCCCUGCCGCUAAACCCCCUAUUUUCUAAUGGUUGACCUCGGAUCAGGUAGGAAUACCCGCUGAACUUAA
rnacentral:misc_RNA from 1 species